UGCAAAGGGCCCUGGGGCACCGCGGGACACGCGGGGGAAGGUUCUUGGCUGGGCUCAGAGAGGGGACCCGGCAGGCCUGGGGCCACGUGCCCUCAACUUGUCGGAUCCUGCGGCGCCUUAGGGUGGACUGGGCUGGGGUCUCGGCAGAGCUGUUUCUGCGCCGAAGCAGGACCCAGGCCAGGGACAGAGUGAGCCUGUGUGACUCCGAGCUUUCUGGGUCCCGCUGGAAACCCCUCUGGCUCUGAGACCGUCUUCUGUGAACCAGAAGGCUCUAUCCUACCUUCUGAGGGUCACAGGAGAUCGCACUUUGCAGUGUCCCCCACCCACACAGGAGAGUUGCUCGGUGCCACAGGCAGGAGGACCCCCCAACACACACAGUACGUUCAUCCAUUCAUUAACCGCAUGGGGAGUAUUCCUUGCAUCUCAGAGAUGGGGACGCAGAAGUGACCCCACUAGACCCAAGGCCGCGGGAGGCUGGGUGGAGCGGACACAUUCUGUAAACUGGACUCCCUUAUUCAACAAAGUGUUUAGUCAAUCAGUUGACAGCAACGCCAGGGUCCUCUGAGGACAGGGCCUUCCUGGAGGUCACUUGAGCCACUUGCCCCAAGGUGGUUUUCAGGGGAGUGUGGCUCCAGGCUGUGGCUGCAGACAGCGCUCACUGCCUGUCUGCAGCUGGGCAGAGCAGCUAGUCUGUCCGCGUCCAGCUCCACCUGGCUGCCCUGCCACGGCCCCAGCGGGCAACCCCUUGUCCUUGACGCCCGUUACUGCGUGCUGCAGCUGGCACCGGCUGCCCUCCUUCCUGCCUGAGACACCCCAGGGCCUUUGUACGUGCAGCUCUCCCUACCCAGAGGAUUCUUUCCAGGCCACCUUCUUCCUGCCAUACAGGCCUCAGAGAGAACAGCUGCAGGCGCCCCCUCCGCCCCCACCCCCACCAACAGAGGAGUGCCGGGUCACCCCCUGUCACGCCAGGAUUUAUUUUCAGUCGGAGUGCCAACCGAGAGCUAAGCCUACCGUAGCCUGUGUGAGCAGAUGGGGAUUUACUAUGGAGCUGACGCUGAGUGAGGACCUUGCCUGGCUGCGUCACCUCUGGUAGCACGAGUGCUGCUACAUGCCAGGCCGAUGCGGGGGAGGCACACGCAGCAGUCUUACCAGGUUCCACAGGGGCUCCCCCAGUCCCACCUGGCAAAGGAGGCCAGGU
rnacentral:lncRNA from 1 species